rnacentral:rRNA from 1 species
AACCUGGUUGAUCCUGCCAGUAGUUAUAUGCUCGUCUCAAGGAUUAAGCCAUGCAUGUCUCAGUAUAAGUAUUUGACUGCGAAUCUGUGAAUGGCUCAUUAAAACAGUUAUCGUUCCUUUGGUGGUAUCAUAGUAGUUGGAUAGCUAUGGAAAUUCUAGAGCUAAUACGUGCUUAGCAUCCCGACUUAUUGGAGGGCUGGAUCUAUUAGAUACCGAACCGAUCCGGGUACGCCUGUCUUUCAGUCGAUUCAUAAUAUUUUUUCGAAUCGUUCUAUUGUGCGAUACGCUUUUUAAGUUUCUGACCUAUCAGUUUCCGUCGAUAGGGUACUGGCCUACCGUGGCUUUGACGGGUAACGGAGAAUUAGGGUUUGAUUCCGGAGAGGGAGCAUGAGAAAUGGCUACCACAUCUAAGGAAGGCAGCAGGCGCGUAAAUUACCCAAUCCUAAUCAAGGGAGGUAGUGACAAGAAAUACCAAUAUAAGGCGUAUUCGCUUUAUAAUUUGGGAUGAGCACAUCCUAAAUUACCUUGCGAGUAUCAAAUUGGAGGGCAAGUCUGGUUGCCAGCAGCCCGCGGUAAUUCCAGCUCCAAUAGC